GACGAACGCUGGCGGCGUGCUUAACACAUGCAAGUCGAACGGAAAGGCCCUGCCUUUGUUGGGUGCUCGAGUGGCGAACGGGUGAGUAACACGUGAGUAACCUGCCCUUGACUUUGGGAUAACUUCAGGAAACUGGGGCUAAUACCGGAUAGGAGCUCCUGCUGCAUGGUGGGGGGUGGAAAGUUUCGGCGGGGGGGGAUGGGCUCGCGGCUUAUCAGCUUGUUGGUGGGGUAGUGGGGUACCAAGUCUUUGACGGGUAGACGCGCUGUGAGGGUGUACGGGGACAUUUGGACUGAGAUACGGCCCAGAGGCCUACGGGGGGGAGCAGUGGGGAAAAUUGUACAAUGGGGGCGAGCCUGAUGCAGCGACGCCGCGUGGGGGAGGACGGGCUUCGGGGUGUGAAAACCGUUCGCGCGGGACGAAGAGUUAUGUGACGGUAAAUGGAGAAGAAGCACCGGCUAAAUACGUG
rnacentral:rRNA from 1 species